UAGAUAAGUCUAAGUGAUAUUACUCUGGGGAGUUUUGAAAGGCAAGAGGGUCACUCUUUAGGUUGGACUUGAAGGUGGUUAUGCAGUUGGUGGGACAGAUGGAUUGUGUCCUGAUUCCUAGGUAGAUUUCUAGGUUCAGGGCAACAAAUGAAGUCUGAAAAGACAACUUGCUAAUCAGCUGCAGAGGUGCUUACAUGCCUUGGAUGAUAGAGUGGAAGAACAAUACGAUGAGUGUCCAGCAUUAUAUUUGAAGGAGGAGUUGCUGAUGACGGUGUUUGGAAGAGAAAGGAAAAGAUUCACAUCAUAGAUUUUGAUGAUGAAAAUAACAUUAUAAACAAAAACGUUCUCCUUCAUCAAGUGGGUGAAAUUUGGCACAUUAGUACCAGUCCUGCAGAUAAAGGUGUACUAGCAACCUGCUACAAUAAAACUUCAGACAGUAAAGUCAUGACAUGUGCUGCUGUUUGGAGGAUGCCGAAGGAAUUGGAAUCAGGCAGUCAUGAAUCCCCUGAUGAUUCAUCAAGCAACACUCAAACCCUGGAGCUACUCUGUCACCUUGACAACACAGCCCAUGGCAAUAUGGCCUGUGUUAUGUGGGAACCAAUGGGAGAUGGUAAAAAGAUUAUUUCGCUGGCUGAUAAUAACAUAUUAUUGUGGGAUUUGCAGGAAAGUUCAGCCAAAGCUGCGCUCUCUAGUUCUGCAGCCUUGGAAGGGAAAGGACAAUUAAAAUUUACUUCUGGAAGAUGGAGUCCACACCACAAUUGUACACAGAUUGCAACAGCCAAUGAUACCACUGUUCGAGGAUGGGAUACACGAAGCAUGAGACAGAUAUAUUGCAUAGAAAAUGCACACGGACAGCUGGUACGAGACCUAGACUUUAAUCCCAAUAAACAGUACUACCUGGCUAGCUGUGGAGAUGACUGCAAGGUGAAAUUCUGGGACACAAGAAAUGUCACUGAACCAGUGAAGACGCUAGAGGAGCAUUCCCACUGGGUCUGGAAUGUCAGAUACAAUCAUUCUCAUGAUCAGCUGAUCCUUACAGGAAGCAGUGAUAGCAGAGUUAUCCUGUCUAAUAUGGUAUCAAUUUCUUCUGAACCAUUUGGGCAUAUGGUAGAUGAUGAUGACCUAAGUGAUCAAGAGGACCAGCAUCAAGAAGAGAAGAUUAAAGAGCCCCUUCAGGACAGUGUAAUAGCUACCUAUGAAGAACAUGAAGAUAGCGUAUAUGCAGUUGAAUGGUCCUCAGCAGACCCGUGGCUGUUUGCCUCUUUGAGUUAUGAUGGGAGACUUGUUAUUAACAGGGUUCCCAGAGCUCUUAAAUAUCACAUACUGUUAUAAUUUGUUUGGAUUAUGGUGGAGUUCUUAUCUUGAUGUACACAAUUGCUGACAACAGAAAGCAUUAGUUCUGCGUUUGUCUUUUCAUUCGGAAUUCCCAAAUCUUACAGCCUGGAACCUGUUGCAGUAUGUGAGACUGAAAUUCUGCAGCGUGUUUGAGAUGGCCUUCAAGAGUAUCGUCUGACAUGGUAAGACACCAUGAGGUAGGUAUGCCUUUGACAUAACUGAAGCAAUGAAAGGUAGGUAAUGAUAACUCUUAAGAUCAGUAUUUGGAUACAAGUUUAUAAUGCUAUAGAGCUGCUGUUUGGCUUCACAGAGGAUGUCGAGGGGUUUUUUUGUUUUGUCUUUUUUUUUUUUUUUUUUCUUGGGGAUAUGAAGAAAGUCCUUAAAAGUUUUGUUGUGGAGCCUGUGGUAUGAAUGCCAUUCUGAGGCUGCAGAAAGCCCAUGAUUUCUGGAAUAGCAAGUGAAGUGACUGAAAGAAAAGUGCAAAUCAGUUUUUAGAAAAGCCUAGCCUUCCCAUAAAAGGAGCUGCUGGGUGUGAAGCCGCAGAUACUCUCCAGAACAAUUUGCACAUUGCUCCUGCUCAUUCCACCUGCCACAUUGGUCAGUGAGGAGCUAGCGAAGUGAGAAGGAAAUGACACAGAGACUUGGAGAGAAAGACAAAGAAGAAGAAGUAAAAGGAAGACUGACAAAUACAGAGUGAAAAGUGAAUUGAAAAAGACAAGAUCAAGGAAAGAUCAGUUUGGAAAACAGAAAUAGGAAAGAUGGAAGAAAUUGGCAGUAAAUGAAGUAAAGAAAAAGAUAAAGGGGUAAGGAGUGGGAAAAAAAAGAAUAUUUGUUUCCUUUUCUUUUGGCUAUGAUGUUAAAGGUCCUUCAAUUUUUUUCUUGUUAAUCUCCCUAUGUUAACUGAUUUCAGUGCUAGAGAAUUGCCAUUUUAUAUUGCAGCAUUUUAGUUCUGAUAUUGGAGAUGGUUCAUGCAUGAUAAUUGCUGUCAAGUUCUUGGUUGAUCCGUAAGUUACUAGUUCAAACUUGUAGGUUUUAAGGGGUCAGUGUUUUUAGCUGGUCACUAUUCUUUUCAGAGAUCAGGUUGCAACUGCACGUGUGAGCAGUUGUAGGCCGUUUCAGUGCAAAGUUAUCAGAUUGGGUAAUCAAAGGGGAGCAGUACCCUGAGAGGCAGGAAGAAAAUUUCACGUGGACUAUUUCUUGAGUCGUGCUAGUUAGAUCUGCAAAAGCAUCUGUUUAUGGCAGACACUGUUUAUCUCCAUUUAUGGCUUCAGGGGAGUGUCCUAGUGAGAACAACUCAAGACAUUAAAUGUGAUUAAUGAAGUAUCUGAGACACAUCCUCCCUUCCACACUGACUUACUUUACAGUAAAAGAAUUUUGAGCUAUUCUUGAGAAAAUCCCCCCUGUUUUGAUUCUACAGCUUUUGGUGCUACAACAGCCCCAACUUCAUAAAGGGGUUUUAGUGCUCCACCACAGAAGAUAGCUUUGGGGAGAAAGAGAUGAAUGAAUCUUACUGAAUCCAGGAGCCAGGCUCCCCGUGUGGAGAUGCAUGGCAGAUAUGUGGGUUGCUAUUGCCCUGGAGCUGUAGUAACAGCUGCCAAGCAGCUGAGCUGAGCGGGGAGGACCUCUAAUGUACCUUCUCAGCAAAUUGUCCAUUUAUUCUGAUGCUGCCCCGAGUUCAGGAUUUUGGCAGGAGGAACUAUGGAAAAGCUUUUAAGCAGAAUGUAUUUAGAAGAGUGUGGGGAACCUUCGAAAACCCAAAGAUACCACAUACUAAUCAGCAAGUCUAGAUGAGCUGAGUCCUGGGGUGGUAACAGACUUGGCAGACAAAUUCUCUGAACCACUGCCAGUUUCUAAAAAAUUUGCGGAGGACUGAGAAGACAAGAAAGACUGGAAAAUAGCAGAAAUGGUAUUGAUAUUUGGAGCUAUGUGGAACAGCAGUGCAUAGAGUUGGACAAGGAAAUGUGUUUCAGAGUGAGGAAAUUUUAGCCAAAUUAUGAAUGUUUUAUUUGGUUUUCCUUUUUUUACUUAGGUUUUUUUUUUUAAUAAACAUACAGUCAAAAUACUAGCAAAUAUCAGAAAUUACGUGAUCACGUCCAUGCAACAAAGUGUGGAUUAUCCAUUGUGUUACACAGAAUAGCCAGAAUUAUAAUCUGAAUGUUUGUAUGAUUUCCCUUAUACCUCUCUGUUUUCCAAAGAGGAUGGGUGAAAGGUAGUAUAUAACAGUAAAUUUAACUUGUCUUCAAACACACAUGAAAAAACAAACGAACAUACUCUCUUAGUUUCUUAUAAUAGGAAAGAGUUUCUGCUAAAGUAAGUAAUGAACCAUCCUUUCACUCUGUGCCUGGAAAUUGGGGUGGGGGGCAGAGAGAAUACCUGGAACUUGACUUUACAGAGAUUGUGAACAAGAAUGAUCUGUUUUCCAGCAUGCAGCUGGUGGGGUAAAACCCUCGAGUACUUUCAGCUGUGUCUCAAUAUACACAGUAUUUUCAGUAUUUUAAGCUGAAGUUACCUACCUAAAACUGUUUCCAAAAAAGGAGUCCAGCUGCUCAGGAUGGUGAUAUAUGAGCACAAACAGGAAAGCAUCUUCUUAAAAUUAAGAAUGUUUCCUUAUCUUUAGGAGAGUAGCUGUGUAACAUGUUUAUUUGCAACUACAAAAGAGUUAGGCUUGGGUGCGUACACGUCUGCUGAUAGCAGCUGGUAGGUAGAUGGAGCCAUAGAUACUUUGAUACUGUUGCUUUUUGCUAUAAGUCAAUCUGGGUAAAAUGGGAGAAAUCUGGUAGAUACAUUAUUAUUGGAAAGUCUGUUAGAAGCUUCAUCACAAUGGGAGCUGUUUAAUCCUUCGCAAAGCAAAUACCAGAGAGCUUCAACAACUGUUCUGACCAUCCUGUUAGAUGUGAGUGACAGUUACUUGGAUUCAGUUUCCUAGAUAGAUGCAUAUUUCUGAUCUGUGUUUUAAUCAUCUAUUUCAGUGUUAAUACGGUUUGAAUAUCUUCAGUCUAUUGUUUGAAUGACUUGGCUAAAUGCUGUAUAAUUUUCUGUUGCAGUUCGUAGGCACUUCUUGUAAGACAGAAGGAAAAGCUGCUUUUGUUUCUAAGUCUCUUCAUGCUGCUGUAUCGGGAGGUAUUCUGGUUGCUAUUCCUGUGUCCUAUACCUCAGGGCUCAAAUCACAAUUUAAAUUCUACAGGUUUUGGACUGGUCAUUGCUGAGGGCUGAGAAGAGCUGUGGAUGAAGGCUGAGCAUGACUGAUGUGUUCAUAUUCAUCAGAAAACAGAGUCAGCUGGAAAGAAAGAGGGAGUAAUUGUUGCAGUGCUCCCUCCCUCACUGCUUGUGCAGAAACACAUAGGCUGCAGGGAGGAAGCUACCUGAGGUUAUUAAGAUUAAUACUGCUAGAAAUUCCAAUCAACUCACACAAGGCUGCUCCUCAAGGCUGUCAGAUACCUACUGCCUUCUCUGAUUCAGGCGGGGCCACAUCAAUUUUGAAUUUCCCAACAGAGAUUGCUAUGAUUUAUGAGUUUAGGAGGCUGAUAAAUGUGGUUAGUUGAAGUGUUCAUGAAAUAAUUGAAUCAGAAUAAUUUCAGUCAGCUGUGCUCAAUUUAUUUUCUCCAAUAACCACAGGAGGGUGUAAUUUUUGGACUGGGAGCUUCAUCUCAAGGAUUCCUAUCACAGGAAAGACAUUGUGGAACCUGGAAUGAGAGCAACUUAAUUUUGCUGCCAGGCCUGUAUGACAGCCUUAUGAGCUGACUUAAAACCCAUCAGAACUGGAGACAGGAGCCGUCAGUAACCAGCACCUCAGGCUUCCGAGGCAAAACUCAGUUCUUCCUACACUGCUGAGCUCUGCAGAUUCCUGGUUUACCCUGAUCCACGUGCUCGUGGCCCUGCAUUUGCCGUACCGGUUUGGUCCCACUCCAGCCUAAUCCACUCCAGCUCUGAAGGUGUUGCUGUGGGAGGCAGAGCCAAGUCUACAACAGGGAGUACCAUUUCCCUAACUGGUUCAAAAGGACACCAGCUAGGGAUGGAAACACAAAACAAGCUGACGUGUCCCGCCUUACGCGAGAGCUAUACUACGGCUGUUGAGAAAGAGGCAUGCCUGAACUUUUGAUAAUGCAAGUAAACUUUGGUUCCAAUACCUAGCAAACAAGCUGAAGCCCAAAUCAUCCAGGUCAAACUGCAGUAUACCAAGGCAACCACUGUCGGUCUUAAAGGAGAUUUUGCUCACCGGCUGUGAAUUUGCGUAUGAGACAAUGUAUAGGGAAGUUUUCUGUUAAAAAAGAUCUGCUUAAAUUUGAUUUCUUUGUAAGAUUGUUUCAAUCUUGCCUCUAUCUACUUUGCAAAAAAAGUGUGGGAAAAUUCUGAUCCAUAUCCUUAUUCUGAUAUUUUUUCCAUACUACUGUGCUGAACUAAAAAAAAUUUAGUAAAUGAGAGCAGGAGUUUUGAUUUUUUUAGGGUUUUCUGUAAAACCUAAGGUUUAUAACUUUAAAAAUUGAGCAGAAGAGUGGAAAUCAAACUGCAAAAUUAAAUUUGUGAAAACAACACAGGUCAAUUUCUAUCAUGCCAGUAUGUAAAAACAAUCUGGCUUAUAUCUUUCUGCACAUUGUUCCUCCAUUAAAAAAAUAAAACUUUCAUUUAACAGCUUACAUUGUCUUACAUAUGGAUUCCUCGUGUCAAGGGGUUGAAUUUCUGAUAGCAUUUCUCCCUGUACGAUUCCUGAUUCCAGGGGCUGCCACUGGUUUUCCUGCUUCUUUGGAACGCACAAAAACAUCUGUCUUUGUGGACUGAGGGAGAAUUGGCAGGGGGUACUUUUGCUGUAGAUACUGGGUUAGUAUUUCAAGAGGAGAUGCAUUUUUAACAGUUGGUUCAAUGUGGAAUCCAGAUUGUGGUAAAAUAUGUAUCAGUAGAAGCCUUUAUUCUUUGGAUGUCCAUAAAAACUUUCUACCUUUGAUUAGAUAAAUUUACCAUUGUAUUUUCAUAUUCUUCAGGUUUUUUGCCUCAGCUGUCAUUACUUCAGGAAUAGAAAGUUAUAUGAGUGGUCAUAUUACAGUAACAGUGUUAUGUGCAGCUGGGUAAAUUCUCAUGCAACGAGGAAUAGCUGUUGUUUUCUUUUAGUUGUGUGUACUAAACAAUUAAAAAACGAACAGUUAACAGAGGAGAGACAGAAUAUUACCUAAAUAUGAUAAGCACUCCUUUGGAAUAGAGAAGCAGUUAGCCGUGUGUUGGAAAUAAACUCUGCCUCACUUAAAGUGCCAGCACCAGUAAACGUAGACCACUGUGUGUGAAGAAGUAUUUAAUAUGUAAUACCAGGGAACUAAGAUACUUAAGUGAGGAAACUUUCAAAGAUCUUGCCUAGGAUAUGAGCAAGCCAGCAGCAAAAGUGGGAGGUAAGGAGUAAAGAAGAAGAAAUUCUGAGAAGAAUCUGGAGAAUACCUUGUCUUCCAAAGAAGGCGUAGCAGCCCAUGGAUGACUGCGGAGGUUUUCAUAGUGAACUGGGGUCAGAUGAAUAGGAAGCAAUGCAUUUUAAAUAAUAAAAGUUUAUAAACAGAAACUCACUGGAAUGAGAAUAAGAACUUCAUAUUCUGUUCAAUAUCUUGGUUUUCUCCUGUAAAAGCCACUACAUGGGAUCUAGUGCAUGAUAAAGAUGGAACCAGUGCCAAAGAGGUGGAAAAGGAAGAGGUGUGGCAUCACGUCUAGGAGUUGCUUUCUCAUGCAAAAGCAAUGUUCAGCUCACUGCUAUGUGAGAUGGCUGCUUCUCCGGUGCAGGGAUGUGAGGUGGGAACUGCUGUUUUUUCGGAAAUCUACUGAGCAGCUAUGUCUUGUCUCUGUGUGAGGCUGUAGCUCCUGCUAAAGUGCAGCUAUUUGCCAGCGACAGUGAAAAAUAACAUAGGUACUAAAGAGCCGAUCACAUGGCGUAUUGGCACGUGCUGCGUUACUGAGAGGCACAGAGCUCCCUGCCUGUUGUACAGCACUCAGGCUUCAGAGCACUGGUUGCUUAUUUCUCAAUGUGUAAUUCUCAGUAGUAAAUGGGUAGGCACUGAGUUUACAUUAGACAGUGUGGGAAUUGGGAAUGAUGUCCCUUGAUGCUAGUUGUCUAAGCAGGCACUCUGGCUUCAUUUGUUUUUUUAGCGAAGGUGUAAUAUUAUGUUGAGGUACCACACCGGGCAAAGCAAGGCAAAGAAAUAACAUUUCCUUGUUUAGCAGGCUGAGACUGUCUUCAGCUAGGUAAUAGAGACUUUUCCCCUUUUCCUUUCCCAACCUCUGCUGUCUUGGCCAUCAAAGUUACAGUGAAAGCAAUUGCAUGUUUGUUACUGCCCUGACCGCUGUCCUGCUCUAUGAUGAUUUGUACUGCUCUGUCAUCAUCAUCUAUUUUUCAGUGGUACUGCAGUAUAUGUGUAUGAAAGCUGCCUGGCAUGUCUGACAGUGCAGGACAAGCCAAAGGUCUUGUGAUUUACAGGUGGCAUUUUUUUAAUGGCUCAUCAGAAGACACUAAAAAAGAUAACUUUUUAUUUCUUAAAAUGUACUAAUCAG